UACAUGGGGUGCAAACGUUGCUCGGAAUUAUUGGGCGUAAAGCGCACGUAGGCGGUUCGUUAAGUCGGAUGUGAAAGCCCUCGGCUCAACUGAGGAAGUGCACCCGAAACUGGCGAGCUUGAGUACGAAAGAGGAUCGCGGAAUUCCCGGUGUAGAGGUGAAAUUCGUAGAUAUCGGGAGGAACACCGGUGGCGAAGGCGGCGACCUGGGUCGAGACUGACGCUGAGGCGCGAAAGCGUGGGGAGCGAACAGG
rnacentral:rRNA from 1 species